UACGUAGGCAGCGAGCGUUUGUUCGGAAUUACUGGGCGUAAAGAGUGUGUAGGCGGUGUUCCCAGUCUGUUGUGAAAUCUCCCGGCUUAACUGGGAGGGUGCAGCGGAAACUAGAAUGCUAGAGGGUGGGAGAGGUAAGCGGAAUUCCUGGUGUAGCGGUGAAAUGCGUAGAUAUCAGGAGGAACACCGGUGGCGAAGGCGGGUCUCUGGGCCGAUACUGACGCUGAGGAGCGAAAGCGUGGGGAGCGAACAGG
rnacentral:rRNA from 1 species